rnacentral:rRNA from 1 species
GACAGAGGGUGCAAACGUUGUCCGGAAUUAUUGGGCGUAAAGAGCUCGUAGGCGGUUUGUCGCGUCUGCUGUGAAAAUCCAGGGCUUAACCCUGGACCUGCAGUGGGUACGGGCAGACUAGAGUGCGGUAGGGGAGAUCGGAAUUCCUGGUGUAGCGGUGAAAUGCGCAGAUAUCAGGAGGAACACCGGUGGCGAAGGCGGAUCUCUGGGCCGUAACUGACGCUGAGGAGCGAAAGCAUGGGGAGCGAACAGG